rnacentral:rRNA from 1 species
GACGAACGCUGGCGGCGUGCUUAACACAUGCAAGUCGAACGGAAAGGCCCUGCCUUUGUGGGGUGCUCGAGUGGCGAACGGGUGAGUAACACGUGAGUAACCUGCCCUUGACUUUGGGAUAACUUCAGGAAACUGGGGCUAAUACCGGAUAGGAGCUCCUGCUGCAUGGUGGGGGUUGGAAAGUUUCGACGGUUGGGGAUGGACUCGCGGCUUAUCAGCUUGUUGGUGGGGUAGUGGCUUACCAAGGCUUUGACGGGUAGCCGGCCUGAGAGGGUGACCGGCCACAUUGGGACUGAGAUACGGCCCAGACUCCUACGGGAGGCAGCAGUGGGGAAUAUUGCACAAUGGGCGGAAGCCUGAUGCAGCAACGCCGCGUGCGGGAUGACGGCCUUCGGGUUGUAAACCGCUUUCGCCUGUGACGAAGCGUGAGUGACGGUAAUGGGUAAAGAAGCACCGGCUAACUACGUG